UUCAUGAAACGCCAAACCUCCUGCGAAGGGGGGACGGAAUGCUGCGGGUCUUGAAAAAGAUGGCCGGGCUGCCACG
rnacentral:ncRNA from 1 species